rnacentral:lncRNA from 1 species
CAAGAAACAAGUUUGUUUCUAUGCGACCUAUGUUUCCUCUGCUUUCAAAUCACUGGACAGUCUCCCACUAGAAACUCCUCGUGCAUGACAUGCUGUAGACCUGAGAUGGUACCAGGUACCAGGUACCAGGAUGGUACCAAAGAGAUACUGAUUCAAAUGAAUUCUUCUUUCUCAGCUUGAAAGAGUGAGUGAUUAAUUGCAGCUUCAGGAAUGGGUGCAAUUACAGCACAAGAAUCCUCCAGCAGCCUGCAACAUGACUCCCACAGUCCAGAGAUGUUCAGCAGGAACUAUCUGAUCCCCAGCUACAGCCUAAACACUUGAAUAUCCACUUGAAUGAGUCCCUGCUCAUCUGCUUCAGCAGAAGUCAUCUUGAGAUGGAAGGAAGAAAGUAAC